AAAUCCCUGCUGUGUGCGUGAAUAGCCGUUAAGUUUUUGCCAACACAAAAAUUAAGGGAGCCUGGACGUCACAUGUGAACUGCAUGCCCUUAAUUGGGACACAUGAAACAUGUGGGAGGGCACCCACCUGCAAUGCAGGUUUAAACUACGGCUUCACGGCUCGGUGGGGCUUUU
rnacentral:other from 1 species